UACGUAGGGUGCGAGCGUUAAUCGGAAUUACUGGGCGUAAAGCGUGCGUAGGCGGUUCGUUGUGUCUGUGGUGAAAGCCCCGGGCUUAACCUGGGAAUGGCCAUGGAAACUGGCGAGCUGGAGUGUGGCAGAGGGGGGUGGAAUUCCGCGUGUAGCAGUGAAAUGCGUAGAGAUGCGGAGGAACACCGAUGGCGAAGGCAGCCCCCUGGGCUAACACUGACGCUGAGGUGCGAAAGCGUGGGGAGCAAACAGG
rnacentral:rRNA from 1 species